rnacentral:rRNA from 1 species
GAGGGGCCCGCGUCGGAUUAGCUAGUUGGCGGGGUAAUGGCCCACCAAGGCUACGAUCCGUAGCUGGUCUGAGAGGAUGAUCAGCCACACUGGGACUGAGAUACGGCCCAGACUCCUACGGGAGGCAGCAGUGGGGAAUAUUGGACAAUGGGGGAAACCCUGAUCUAGCAAUGCCGCGUGAGUGAAGAAGGCCUUAGGGUUGUAAAGCUCUUUCGGCGGGGACGAUGGUGACGGUACCCGCAGAAGAAGCCCCGGCUAACUUCGUGCCAGCAGCCGCGGUAAUACGAAGGGGGCUAGCGUUGUUCGGAAUCACUGGGCGUAAAGGGCGCGUAGGCGGCGCGACAAGUCAGGCGUGAAAGCCCCGGGCUCAACCCGGGAAUUGCGCUUGAUACUGUCGUGCUUGAGGCCGGGAGAGGAUGGCGGAAUUCCCAGUGUAGAGGUGAAAUUCGUAGAUAUUGGGAAG